AGAGUUUGAUCAUGGCUCAGGAUGAACGCUAGCGGCAGGCUUAACGCAUGCAAGUCGAGGGGUAUGUAGUUUUCGGAUUACAGAGACCGGCAAACGGGUGCGGAACACGUACACAACCUACCUUUAUCAGGGGAAUAGCCCAGAGAAAUUUGGAUUAAUGCCCCAUAGUAUUAUUUGAUGGCAUCAUUAGAUAAUUAAAGAACUUCGGAUAGAGAUGGGUGUGCGUAAGAUUAGCUAGUUGGUAGGGUAACGGCCUACCAAGGCAACGAUCUUUAGCUGAUGUGAGAGCAUGAUCAGCCACACGGGCACUGAGACACGGGCCCGACUCCUACGGGAGGCAGCAGUGAGGAAUAUUGGGCAAUGGACGGAAGUCUGACCCAGCCAUGCCGCGUGAAGGAUGAAGGCGUUCUGCGUUGUAAACUUCUUUUAUCAGGGAAGAAACCACUGUAUUCUUAUGGUGUUGACGGUACCUGAUGAAUAAGCACCGGCUAACUCCGUGCCAGCCGCCGCGGUAAUAC
rnacentral:rRNA from 1 species